rnacentral:rRNA from 1 species
GCAGUCUGCAACUCGACUGCAUGAAGUCGGAAUCGCUAGUAAUCGCGGAUCAGCAUGCCGCGGUGAAUACGUUCCCGGGUCUUGUACACACCGCCCGUCACACCAUGGGAGUCGGAAAUGCCCGAAGUCUGUGACCCAACCUUAGGGAGGGAGCAGCCGAAGGCAGGUCGGAUGACUGGGGUGAAGUCGUAACAAGGUAAC